rnacentral:lncRNA from 1 species
CCCUGGGUCCGCGCAGGGGCGCCGGCCUGGCGUCGGUUCCGAGUCCGGCGCGCGCUGGCGCUCCCGGGCCCCCAAGGGCUCCUUGCGGAAGUUCCUGGAGCACCUCUUCGGGGCCUGCAAGGCCAUCGGCGUGCUGACCAGCGGCGGGGAUGCUCAAGAACCCAAGGAUUGAGAACAAUGGACUUUUUGAUGUGUGUUGCAACAAACGCAUAGCCGAGGGCUGUAAAUCGGAGGGAUCACCAGGUCUGCCUACCAGC